rnacentral:rRNA from 1 species
GUGGGGAAUCUUCCGCAAUGGACGAAAGUCUGACGGAGCAACGCCGCGUGAGUGAUGAAGGUCUUCGGAUUGUAAAGCUCUGUUAAUCGGGACGAAAGAGCCUAGUGUGAAUAAUGCUAGGAAGUGACGGUACCGGAAUAGAAAGCCACGGCUAACUACGUGCCAGCAGCCGCGGUAAUACGUAGGUGGCAAGCGUUGUCCGGAAUUAUUGGGCGUAACGCGCGCGCAGGCGGAUCUGCCAGUCUGUCUUAAAAGUUCGGGGCUUAACCCCGUGAUGGGAUGGAAACUACAGAUCUAGAGUAUCGGAGAGGAAAGUGGAAUUCCUAGUGUAGCGGUGAAAUGCGUAGAUAUUAGGAAGAACACCAGUGGCGAAGGCGACUUUCUGGACGGUGUCUGACACUGAGGCGCGAAAGCCAGGGGAGCGAACGGGAUUAGAAACCCUAGUAGUCC